UGUGCUAUUUCAGGGUGGUCUGUGGCCUAGGAAGUGCCAUGUCCACGGAGAAGGCAGAAGCUGAGAGGAACUUUCACGCAACCGAACCCUGAGCAGUAUCCACUCAUGUCAUCGCUGUGACCAGUCUCACUCCCUCACAAAUCAGAAGUAUUUUUGGAAGCUGAUUUUCCGCAAACAGGAGGGUGAAGAGCAACACUCACAAGCGAAGUUUCUACUGGAAACACAACCCUCAUUCUCUGGGCCCGGACCUCCUUCAUCAGAUACAUGCUACGCCAAAAACAGACUGCAGAAACAUCUUGAAUUUUAUCGGCUGCCGAAACCGAUCCUCGCUGAUGAUCUGCACAAGAAGCCAAACCUGUCACUCCAAGUCUGGGGCACCCAGGCCAACAGGGAAGUGUGGUGGGGUGACCCCAGAUGUCUGCCCAGUUUUCACAGGAAGCUGGUCUCCACCAUCAACUUUGUGUGAAGCCCCAGUGACCCCCAGCUGAGCUGGGUCUCCUCCAGUGCUCAUGGGCUGGAUAGUGACCCUUAUGUCCACCCCAUACCCAGAGCCCCUGGGAUCAGGUCACCUGUUCCCACUAGACCUUUGGACCCCAGAAAGGCCUGGUGGCCCUUUGCUGGCUCAAGUUCCCAGCCCACCCAGGCAAAAUCCUUUCUCUUUGUCCAGUGGGACACCUUUCUAUCUCCAGGACCUGCUGGAAGCCUUCCACACCCAUUUUAGCCAACACCAGCUACCCCACUACCUGGAAGUCUUGUGGGCUGCUUCAGACACGAGGGCCCAGCACCAGCAUCGCUCUCCUCCCUGCUGCCUGUGCCUCACACAGUCCCACUGCGGCUGCCCCUCACACUCCUCCCAGCGAGCUCCCAGGAUCCAGACUGCCCCUUCGAGCUCCAUGUCCCCAGUGCCUGGCACGCAGUCAGUGCUCAACAAGGGCUUAAUAAACGA